rnacentral:rRNA from 1 species
UACGUAGGGUCCGAGCGUUGUCCGGAAUUAUUGGGCGUAAAGAGCUCGUAGGCGGCUUGUCGCGUCGUCCGUGAAAACCCACAGCUCAACUGUGGGCUUGCGGUCGAUACGGGCAGGCUAGAGUUCGGUAGGGGAGACUGGAAUUCCUGGUGUAGCGGUGAAAUGCGCAGAUAUCAGGAGGAACACCGGUGGCGAAGGCGGGUCUCUGGGCCGAUACUGACGCUGAGGAGCGAAAGCGUGGGUAGCGAACAGG